UGGUUAGAUACAUCAAGUAUGAUCAUGUUAAUGGUUACCUAACGGAUCCUUACAGUGGAGGCCAAAGCCUACUGAUUAGGUUUCUGGGGCAAAAUUAAAAUUACUAGAAAUUGUUUAGAGAAACAAUUGGUUAUGAACCUACCCUUAGAUGUACAUGGGUUGGCCAACCAAAGUUGAGCUUGUGUGCAGUCUAAGUGAAUUCUAGUACCCGCUAAGGAAUUAGGGUAAUUCUUCGAAUUGGAGGUAGAGGCUACCAAUUCGAAUAAAAUAGUGGGAGAAACCUUUUGAUUAAAGUCCAAAUCUUUAGGUUUAAUGAAUCAAUUACUAAUUAGGUUAUGAUUCUCUUUUGUGCAAAUAUGGCCACUUCCCUAUCGCUCCGAUCAUU
rnacentral:lncRNA from 1 species